GCCGGGUGUGGUGGCGGGCGCCUGUAGUCCCAGCGACUCGGGAGGCUGAGGCAGGAGAAUGGCGCGAACCCAGGAGGCGGAGGUUGCAGUGAGCUGAGAUCGUGCCACUUUGUCACCCAGGCUGGAGUACAGUAGCGCGAUCUCAACUCACUGCAACCUCCGCCUCCCGGGUUCAAGCGAUUCUCCUGCCU
rnacentral:SRP_RNA from 2 species